rnacentral:misc_RNA from 1 species
AACGCAUAUUGCACUCCUUUGGGAGUAUGCCUGUUUGAGAAUCUAUAGUAUUUCUUUAUCUAGUUUACUAGAUUAGAUUUGGCGUGUCUCUUUUUAAGAGUGCGCUUAAAACUAUAGCUAGUCGCCGAAAGAGCGCCAAAGCAAAACUGUUUGAAGCUCAUUAGAGUAACCUACAUUAUUGAUUUGGGAAACGUUCUCAAGCAUCUAGCUCUUACCCAUCAAGGUUAUAACAUAACCUGAACCUUGGUCUCAAAUCAGGUAGGAGGACCCGCUGAACUUAA